AGGAGCGAGGCAAGAAGAUUAUUGCUGUCGUUGGCCCAGCACUGAGAUUUUUUUUUUAUGGCUUCAGGCCUCUGGAAUUUGUAGGCAAACGUUCCACUUUUGUCUCUGGCCAACCCAACUGCACAUUCCAUACUGACAAAGCCCGACUGGGAAUUGGGAACUUUUCCUCCGGCCACCUCCAUCUCCCUUGGCUCUUUCUCUGCCCGUCCUGCUCCUUCUCGUGAGCGCAGGCCUGCAACGCUAAGGGCGCGGGGUCGGCGGCACAACCGGGAGGGCGUCUGGCGACCGCAAGGAGUCCUGCGCGAGCCCACUCGGGGUCUGAAGAGGAUGUAGGAAGUCAUUUGUUUAGGUUCGUCCCCCACUCUGUCUGGGAUGGGAAGAAAAGAGGGAACCAAGCCAGAGAAAGGAUCUCAGAACCCCUUUGAGUGCAUUUAUAGACGGGAGUGAAAAAGACAAAAUAUAGUGCACAAAGCACUUAUAAGUUACUUUAAUCCAAUGAGAAGGAAAGGGAGGAGGGGAUAAGGGAGGGAGGAGGGAAGCCAGCCUUUGCUGCCCAGUCCCGCGUCUUGCACCGCGGAGGGUGCUCGGAGACCGGGACGGGAGACGGACUUUUGGUUCGGAUUCAGCGUUCGGUGCGACGCGUGCCUUUUGGCAAGUCAUUUCCCGCUCUGGGCUUUGCUUUUCCAUUCCUAGCCGGGCCAGGGGACGUGAUCUCUCAACUGCCAUCUAGACCGACGCAUCUAGAGCUGCAGAACCUUGCAGACAGACGGACGCCUGUCCCUGCACCGACCGGAUGUGCAGGGGCCUUUUCGACGAGAAUCUUCCACCGUAACAUCUCGCUCAGUUACCGCGGGACCCGGCAGAACACCGAGGGCCACUUAACGUGCAGAGCUCGCUUGGCCGUGAUGGGUUUCUUAUCGCUCAGAUUUCUCUACGGACCCGACGAAUUUUCAACAGAGGGUGCCCAUCCUGGAGCUGGCUGCUUUCGUAGUGUCCACCCCUCCUGGGCGACAGGGGCGCUGGACUCAGCUGCCCGCUCAGACACAUCUCCACUCUUGUCUGCCACUUCUGAGUCCCCGAGACUGCUCUUGGGGCAACACCUGCGGAAUGCGUCGCCAAGGUGAUCCCUGCACCAGCUGGGGAUUGGGCUAGGUGAUCUCUGAGAUAACCCCACAUCUUGAGAUCGGGAGACUUAAACCUUCUCCACAGUCGGAAGAGAGAGGCAGAAGCUCGCUCCUAGGAAACCGUGACCUUCAGACUAUUAAAAAUACGUACAUGGUUAGAUCUUAUUUCGUUUUAGGUUUUUGUAGCACGAGGUUAUGUGGCCCCUAGUUGGGAGGCCUCAGGAAACAGAAAAGCAGGCCAAAAGAAAAGGUGAAAAGAAGGGAAAAGGGAAGGAAGGGAGGAAGGUUGGGGCGGGGGGGGGAAGCAAGGAAGAAAGGAGGCAGAAAGAUGGACCUCUUGUAGAGGAGACGGGGAGGCUGGAGUGAGAAGGAAAGAGGCGAUGGGGAGGCGGGGGAAGAGAAAAGAAGAAACGAGGGGAAAAGACGAGGCCGAAGGGAAGAGAGAGGCAGGAAACCAGAGAGACUGGCUUCCUACUUGGGGACGCGUUUCCAGGCUACAGUCCCGCGCCCCCCACGCACGGACAUCUGCCCCGCCACGACUUCCUCUAAGCGAGCACUUCUGCAACCGUGGAGCCGAGCAGGCCGCCCUGGCUGGCUUUCAGCACACAGUCACUGCCGUUUCUGCAGGAUGCUGGAAAUGGAAUAAUUAGUACUUGUCCCCUUGCCAGGGCUGUGCCGGGAGAAAUCGGCUGCCUGAGAACACUGCUUGGCUGGUGGCUUGCCCACCUCUCGGAAGGCCCCGGGGCUCGUGUGUGCGUGUGAACUUGUCGGCCAGGGGGGCCGUGACCGUAGGAGGUGGAGGAUGGAAGGGGGCCGUGGAGGCACAGACGUCCCCUCGCUGGAAGGAGCCAGGGACCAAGCAGAGUAACGGAGUAUGAAGUGGAGACAAUUGAGGAGGAAGGUGUCAGAGCCCCGUGCAAAGUUCCUUCAGCAUCCACCCUUACCGAUUGGGCUAAAGUCGCUUAAUCCACCUCUCCUGACAUAAACGAAUCCCGAGCCUCGGCAUCCUGAAUCCGACUUCAUCCCUUCAUCCUGAGCGAGCCACUGCCCCAUCCGGAGCCUUGGUCUUCUCACCUGUGCAAUGGGGGCAGCCCUCGUAGAGCCUACGCGACAAUUGGGACCUGCAGGAGUGCUGGGUGCCGCGGGCUGCCCGACCCUCCACAGGUGCCCAGCAAAGGUUGGUUCUCAAGCUCUGCCAGCUUCUGACUCCAUUUCGAUGCCAUUCCAUUUCUUUCUUUAUAUAUCCGUUCAAUGACGCGAACCAACGCGAAUGUACUACUCGAAAGCAAUCCUUUCUUUUAACAGGGAAAGAAGAUCUUAUGUGACCGGUAUAUCCACGAGCAAGUAGCAAGAGGCAGCCACCGCAGCGGCCCCAUGAUGUCCAUUCAUUGGCCGAGAGGUUGAAGGUCACCAGAUAGCACGCAUUUCCUGCCGACCCUGACCCUCGGGUUACCUAGCUGGGGCACCAGCUGUGCCUCCUUUUCCCUCACCCCAAGCUUUUCUCAUCACACUCACCUUUGUCCCCGCACGCAUUGUCUCCCACAGCCUCCUCUGAGCACUUCGCCCCAUCAUGUUUGGCUCCAAUGAUUUGUUUUCUGAAUCCACGGCUUUUACUCUCUUCUGCACAGUUUUUUUUUUUUCCCCCUCUCCUGAAAGUUUGAAAAUUAUUUUUGUGUUCGUCUGUCUCCUGCCUUUUCUUCCCGAUUUUUCCAAGGCGAUUCAGCUGUUCGUACCAUCUGGUCAUAGUCUCAAGAAUUAGAAAAGGGUUUUUAGUGAUGAGAAAUUUUAUCCUGACUUGCUUCAGGUAGGCAGGCAGGCAGGAAUCGAGAUUGCGAGGGCAGGUGUCCCAAGCGUGGUGCUGUUGCGUGAAGCUCUUGGAGGCUUAACAGACUCAGCCACCCAGGAGCCCCGAGGAGAUCGGAUUUCUAACGUUACCUCUGCCACCAUCUCCCAGUGCGACCUUAGAACAAUCACAUCAUCCUAGAAAGCAAAUCAUAUUAUUUCAGUUUUGUAGAUGUAAGUGCUGAGGCACCAGCGGCAUUUUUUCUCCAUAGCACAUUCCUGUCAUAUAGACCAGCAGGUAUUCAAAUGCAGCCUUCUUAGUCCCCAAACCAAGAGCUGAGUUUAGAUUUGGAAGCAGGACUAUUUAUGUAUCUGUGUCUUGAACUCCUUGCCGGCGCUGGUUUGACUCCUUUGGGCCACACUGCCUGCUCCUCUCCGCCUGUACCCCACCCCCGGGGAGAGAGGAAGCUGGCGUAUCUUUUCCAUUCGUGGCCUCCGCUCUUAGGAGCUCAGCUAGCCUCUCGUACACUAGGAGGAAUACCUUCGGUCAUACAGAGAAAUUCUGACCUCCUGAGGCUGUCUGGACCCCUUUGGUCUCAGGAAACUUUUGUUCUCCUUCCGAGCUCUUAGCCUUUUUUUUUUCCUCCCCGGCCCUCCUUCUUCAUCAAAGUCUAUUGUUUGAACUGAUGGCUUAGAGCCAGGUGUUAGAAAGGAAGCGCAGUGAUGACACAAAUUUGCACUCAAGUGUCGUUGAAUAAAAGCCUCCGUUACAUUUCUUAGGGAGUUUGUAUUUUUACAAAGGAGCAGAAAUCAACCUCACCGACAAUCUGGUCAAUUCCGGGUUCUUCAGAUGGUGUGAAAAGUGCCAUGGAAAAGCCAGGAGAGGCGGGCCGGUUUUGAGUGACGUAUGACCCGAAGACAGGUAGAUACCCAGCUUAAAACCAGCCCCAGGGACAUCCACGGGGCUCAGACGUUUCUGAGCCUGGGCCCCGUUCGUUGGUUGCAAACCUGCUUCUUGAGAGCCCUUAAUUAUACAAUGUGAGUAUCUUUAGCCCUGGACGAAUACUGCUCAAUAUGUAUUGUAUCAAGUUGCUCUAGAUGAGUUUUUGCAUUCUUUGGGGGUGGUAAAUCCAAAAGCAGUGCUGGGAGGCUGAACAUGAAAAACAGGAGGAUUUAAUUAGGAAGAAAGCCUCAGCGUCACCCCCUGGGACCACACUGCUUCAUUCCUGCACGAGAUUCCAUCUUUGAAAUGUCUUCUAUACAGAACUCCCCUCCACCCCCCCUUGAAACCUCACAGCUGUGAUACAGAGGGACUCUUGAGGGCGGCAAGACAAGAGAGAAUUUCUUCCCUUCCCUCAUGGCCGUAUUUAACAGCCAGUUCCCAAAUGGUAUUAAUAAACAUUGGAACUUCAAAAACCGAA